rnacentral:tRNA from 1 species
GCAUUUGUAGUUCAGUGGUAGAGUUCUUGCCUUCCGUGCAGAAGACGGGUUCUAUUCCUGGCCAAUGUA